CCACUAGCGCCGCCCUAGUUUCUAAAUUCGGUACUUAAAUCUGUUUGACGUUUUGGAUCGUGCUCGUGCGUGGUGCGUGUUUUUUUAAAGUUUUUUUUAGUUUACCGGUGUUGUUCCAGAUUUUGGCCAAUUUUGUCCAUCUACCACCAUUCCGUCGUAGAAGACUGUGACAUCCGCACACAGGGGGCAUCGAAAAUCGCUUGCAAUCAAAAAUAUGCCGGUUUCCCGGAUGGCUGAAUGUGCAACAUCCGGCCGGAUAGCACACAAGGUGCGUCAUCUAACCAUUAUGAUUGACCACAUGUCCCAGCCGGCGGAAAAUGUCAGCGCGAAGGUGCGCCAGUUGGACGGACCUGUUCGAAAUUCUCUUCGAAUUGGAUGAAGUCCUAGUCGACGUUCAUCCCGCGGCGAGCCGAUUACGUCGUGAUCGCGAGUGCAUGGUUUAAACCGAACAGCGCAAUACUCAAAGCAUGUGAUUUACUGAGGAUUACUUUUUAUUUUGAACUGUAAAUAUUAAUUUAAAACAAUAAAAAAACUUUUUCCUGAUAAAA